AUUGAACGCUGGCGGCAGGCCUAACAAAUGCAAGUCGAACGAGUGGCGGACGGGUGAGUAAUGUCUGGGAAACUGCCCGAUGGAGGGGGAUAACUACUGGAAACGGUAGCUAAUACCGCAUACCAUCGGAUGUGCCCAGAUGGGAUUAGCUAGUAGGUGGGGUAACGGUUCACCUAGGAGACGAUCCCUAGCUGGUCUGAGAGGAUGACCAGCCACACUGGAACUGAGACACGGGCCAGACUUCUACGGGAGGCAGCAGUGGGGAAUAUUGCGCAAUGGGCGCAAGUCUGAUACAGCCAUGCCGCGUGUAUGAAGAAGGCCUUCGGGUUGUAAAGUACUUUUAGCGAGGAUGCGUUACUCGCAGAAGAAGCACCGGCUAACUCCGUGCCAGCAGCCGCGGUAAUAC
rnacentral:rRNA from 1 species